GGCAUCGCUGGAUUCUUUUCCCCUGGGUUGCACCUCUCCCGAGUGGACACUGUCCGAAAAACAUUUCUCCAAAAGAACUCUCCAUAUACAAAAUUUAUUCCAUAAAUUUAGUUAAGAAGAACAGAAAGAAAUGCAUGUUAAAUACAUGUAGCCAAUAAGUCAAAUAUGUGUUUUAGUGCAUAGUACUAUGUAAGGACAUUGUGCCUUCACUGGGGGAUAAAAGAAAUAUGUGCAAAACAGGCCCACUGACCUACGGCCUACACCCCCCAUCCAUCACCUUAGGUCUCUAUCAGGUUAUCUGUCAACAGCCACAUAUGGCACACUUACAUUUUUCAAGAGAGUUUUGGAGAUUUUAGUUGAGGCUUACACUUGCUAGGAACUCAAGUCUAUUUGUCUAUUUGAUGGUGGCUUUUGCUUCUGCAACAACCACAUCUUGAUUAUCCACCAUGAUAGAGAAAGUAGUGCUGAUACACAAUCCCUGGGGGCGGAAAGGCUCAUCCAAGAACCUAGGCAAAGCAUCUUUGCCAUCUCUGAGGACGUACCAAAUAUGGCUUCCAUCCUCUAGAAUCUAAAACCAAGUAGUAUACACAAGGGAUGCCAAGGGACCAAAGAGCUCCAAGCAUGCUACAAGUGUGAUUUCCAGGGUGGGAGAGUGGCAGCAGCUGCCGGCUUCCAUCCAUGUAUGUGACAGUCUGCACAUGCCCAGAGGGAUCUGGUCCUGGACGCUUGCAUUUAGAUUGUGUAUUAUAUCCCUCGCAUGCCACCAGGCUGGCACCCUGCCAGCUGGGCCUUUCAGCUUUCCAGAAGCAUGGUGGAUCCAUCUCGUUUUUUCUGACACCUGUGCAAGACACCUUGCUUGCCCUUGGCAUGACUCUCCAGGGAGAAGGAGCUAAGAGGGCAUUCUCUGGAAGAGAUGUCCAAAAACAUGAGAGUCUCCUGUUCCUUCAACAUAAAAACAGAGCCAGAAAAAAAAUUCAGCGUUCAUCACCCAGACUAUCCAUCUUUUAGUGAAAACACAAAGGAAGGGUGAAUUCUGGUCACAGUGUCCUUAUCCCUGACCAUCAGUGUCCGAAUCCAGACACCUGCAGUUUGAGCCACCUCUCUGUGAAGCUUUUCCUAGGGCUCCAGGUAAGCUUAAGAGUUCCUUCAGAUGGCCUAAGUCCUUGGGUCCUGCACCCCCUGGGAGACCAGGAGAAGCACCUGGCUCCUGGCUUUGGAUCAGCGCGGUGCACCGGCCACAGCGCGCUGGCCGUGGUGGCCAUUGGAGGGUGAACCAAUGGCAAAGGAAGUCCUUUCUCUCUGUCUCUCUCUCUCACACUGUCCACUCUGCCUGUCAAAAAAAUAAUUCCUUCAAAUGGGUUCUAUCAGUCACCUCUCAACCCCAGCAGUCACAACGCUUUUUGACUUGUGUCUCAUCUCUCAACUGUGAACUUGUGCUGGGACCUUCCACAGUGUUCAGUCUAUAUUUGACAAUUGGUAGGUAGUUUGAAUGUAUGAACGAAUGACUAAUACAAAUGCUGGCAUACAGGAGUUGUGCUAGAAGUUAGCACCAGAUACAUGCAAAAAAUGGGUGUGUCAAAAAGGAAACCUCCUGAAGUGAAAUGGACACUAUGAGAAAUGGUGACUUGAUCAGCAUAGCCCUGACUGCUAAUGGACAACUUAAUACAUUAUCCCUCAUAGUAUUUUUUUUUUGUCUGUUCUACUUAAUAUGACUGGUUUAAUUCUGUAAUUAUCACACAGUUAUUCUUAAGUGUUGAAAAUUAACUGAAAUGUGAUCCCUGUUAAACAUAAAAGUGGGAAUAAGAGAGGGAAGAGAUGUAUAAUUUGGGGCAUGCUCGGGCUGACUUGCCCCAAUUGGUAGAGUUGGAAACAUACUAGGGGAUUCCAAUUCAAUCCCAUCAAGGUGGCAUGUGCCAAUGCCAUCUCACUAUUCCAAGUGAUCAAUUUCAGUUCACAAUUGAUCAUAAUGAAAGGACUAAGAGUCAAAGGGAGCACAUAAACAAGUCUAGUAUCUGCUAACACUAACCGAUAGAAUAAAUAAAGGGGAGAGUGAUCCA
ensembl:lncRNA